UGUUGCCUAGUCUAUGCACUCUUAAUGGUAUUCUGGAUCUUAAAGGAACAUCAGCAAGUCAACGUCAGAUUGUAGGUGCAUAAAUCAGUCUACCGUAGGUUCUUUUAAACUAUAUUCUUACAGCCGGGACAGUAACGUUACGGUUACGUCGUACAAGAUUGGUUAUGUAACGAUUUUCUCUUGCAUUUGGAUGUCCACCAACUGAUCUUCUAUGUACAUUUCCACUCUCUUCGAAUUAUCGCACUAUUAUGAUCACAGAUGAUUUAGGUAUGGCAAGUGUCGGUGAAAUUCGGUGAUUUGACCAACCCUAUUGAUGCAUUUUUCGACAAGGAGAUACAAAUUAUUUUGUUUGAAUGCUUUGUUGAAAAUAGAUGAAAAUAUUGUUGAAAGUUUUUGAACCAUAAAAAAAAUUUGCAGUUUGGUUGCAUUUCUAUAAAAACGUUAAAUUGAUAAUUAGUUUUUAUUUCUAUCUUACGAGGGGGUCCAAGAGAUUUGACAUUGUGUAUAUAUAAGAAAAAAAUAAAAAAUAUCCAAAGUA